rnacentral:rRNA from 1 species
GAUGAACGCUAGCGACAGGCUUAACACAUGCAAGUCGAGGGGCAGCGAGGGCGUAGCAAUACGCCUGUCGGCGACCGGCGCACUGGUGAGUAACACGUAUGCGACCUGCCCCCUACAGGGGUAUAACCCGUAGAAAUGCGGACUAAUCCCCCAUAGUCCUGGAGGCUGCAUGGCUUUCAGGGGAAAGGCCAGCCGGUAGGGGAUGGGCAUGCGGCGCAUUAGCUAGUUGGCGGGGCAACGGCCCACCAAGGCGACGAUGCGUAGGGGUUCUGAGAGGAAGGUCCCCCCACACUGGUACUGAGACACGGACCAGACUCCUACGGGAGGCAGCAGUGAGAAAUAUUGGUCAAUGGGCGCAGGCCUGAACCAGCCAAGUCGCGUGAGGGAAGACGGUCCUACGGAUUGUAAACCUCUUUUGUCGGGGAGUAACGUGCGGGACGCGUCCCGUAUUGAGAGUACCCGAAGAAAAAGCAAUCGGCUAACUCCGUG